ensembl:rRNA 5S_rRNA 5S ribosomal RNA
GUCUCAGGCCGUAUCAGCCUGAAGGCGCCCGAUCUCGUCUGAUCUCGGAAGCUAAGCAGGGUCGGGCCUGCUUAGUAUCUUGGAUGGGAGACCACCUGGGAAUCCCGGGUGCUCGAGGCU